rnacentral:lncRNA from 1 species
GAUUAGCUGAGAUAAUGAGUUGGCUGGAGAUGCCAAGAGGACCAAGUUUUGAAAUCAGUGGAAUUCGAGUAUGAUAGCUAAGGAGAUGGAGAAAACACCAGUCUGGAAUACAUUGUCAAACUAAGGCAUGGCAUCAGACAGGAGACGUGUACAACCAUGAUGUAUACUGCCCUAGGACCAUGCCUGGCCUGAUGACUCCUUGCUGUCCCCAGUCCACAUGGUCGUGCUGCUGCCCCAGGUUCAGCUGUUCUUCCUGUGGCUAUGGAACCCUGACCUGUUCACCGGACGUGCUACCUGUCCCGG